UACGUAGGCAGCAAGCGUUGUUCGGAAUUACUGGGCGUAAAGAGUGUGUAGGCGGUGCUCUAAGUCUGUUGUGAAAUCUCCCGGCUUAACUGGGAGGGUGCGGCGGAGACUGGAGUGCUAGAGUGUGGGAGAGGUAAGCGGAAUUCCUGGUGUAGCGGUGAAAUGCGUAGAUAUCAGGAGGAACACCUGUGGUGUAGACAGCUUACUGGACCACGACUGACGCUGAGGCGCGAAAGCCAGGGGAGCAAACGGG
rnacentral:rRNA from 1 species